UGGUACAAAGGGAGCUCCAAGAAGAAGGAAUGCUUCCUGAGAUGAGCUGUUAGGGAUACUCCCGGUUUGCACAGCGUGGCCUGUCCCUCCUGCCAUCCUUACUUUUGAAAUAGGCGGUUGAACUGGAGGAUGUGAGCAGAAGCCAGCACGCCCAGCACAGUAUCCUCGGUCAUCUCCACCUCAUUCAUGUAAAGGUUCUUCAGGGCCAGGGCGAAGGCUGGGGAGCAGCAGCAGAGGGGGGCCAUUAGUGUGGGAUUUGUGUGCCCACCUGGGGGAGUCUCACUACUCCUGCAGCCGGGAGUGGGUAGACAUGCCUGGAGGAAUAGUGAGCGCAGACUACCUGGGCUGAUGACCUCCUGGACCCGCAGCUUCCUGGAGAAGCUGAGGAUGAAGGUAUCACUUCAAAGCAAAGGAGAUCAUGGUCUGUUAUUUGAUGAUGUUCCAAAGGCCCUGGAAGAGAUAUGGACCAACCCUACAUAUGUGACAAACUAUCUUAGGAAAAUAAGGAUGCUGAGAUGAAGGAAAUGCUGCCCGCAAGCUACAGAGAAACCUGAUGUAGCUGAGACGUGCCCGACUGAGAAGAGGAACAAACAAUGAGCAUGCAGAAGAGGAAGUUGAUUUGGGGAUAUGUUUUUCUCAUCUGUAAAAAAUGGAAUCUCCUUGCAUAUAAUGUAUCCCCUUUGGAGAAAAAGAAAAAAUAAGGCUGCUAGGAACACA